rnacentral:rRNA from 1 species
GACGAACGCUGGCGGCGUGCUUAACACAUGCAAGUCGAACGGAAAGGCCCUGCUUGCAGGGUACUCGAGUGGCGAACGGGUGAGUAACACGUGGGUGAUCUGCCCUCCACUUCGUGAUAAGCCUGGUAAACUGGGUCUAAUACCCGAUAGGAGCCAUCUUUAGUGUGAUUGUUGGAUAGUUUUUUCGGUGUAGGAUGAGCGCGCGGCCUAUCAGCUUGUUGGUGGGGUAAUGGCCUACCAAGGCGGCGACGGGUAGCCGGCCUGAGAGGGUGGACGGCCACAUUGGGACUGAGAUACGGCCCAGACUCCUACGGGAGGCAGCAGUGGGGAAUAUUGCAAAAUGGGCGCAAGCCUGAUGCAGCGACGCCGCGUGGGGGAUGACGGCCUUCGGGUUGUAAACAGCUUUCGCUAGGGACGAAGCUUUUGGUAAGGGUACAGAGAUAAGAAGAACCGGCUAACUACGU